CCUACGGGGGGCAGCAGUGGGGAAUAUUGCACAAUGGGGGAAACCCUGAUGCAGCGACGCCGCGUGAGUGAAGAAGUAUUUCGGGAUGUAAAGCUCUAUCAGCAGGGAAGAAAAUGACGGUACUUGUUUAAGAAUCCCCGGCUAACUACGUGCCAGCAGCCGCGGUAAUACGUAGGGGGCAAGCGUUAUCCGGCUUUACGGGGUGUAAGGGGAGCGUAGACGGCGGGGCAAGUCUGAAGUGAAAUGCCGGGGCUUAACCCCGGAACUGCUUUGGAAACUGUGCAGCUAGAGUGCAGGAGAGGUAAGUGGAAUUCCUAGUGUAGCGGUGAAAUGCGUAGAUAUUAGGAGGAACACCGAUUGCGAAGGCAGCAUACCGGCGCGCAACUGACGCUCAUGCACGAAAGCGUGGGUAUCGAACAGGAUUAGAUACCCCAGUAGUC
rnacentral:rRNA from 1 species